rnacentral:rRNA from 1 species
GAUGAACGCUGGCGGCGUGCCUAAUACAUGCAAGUCGAGCGAACAGACGAGAGUGCUUGCACUCUCUGACGUUAGCGGCGGACGGGUGAGUAACACGUGGGUAACCUACCUAUAAGACUGGGAUAACUUCGGGAAACCGGAGCUAAUACCGGAUAAUAUUUAGCUUCGCAUGAAGCAAUAGUGAAAGACGGUUCUGCUGUCACUUAUAGAUGGACCCGCGGUGUAUUAGCUAGUUGGUGAGGUAACGGCUCACCAAGGCAACGAUACAUAGCCGACCUGAGAGGGUGAUCGGCCACACUGGAACUGAGACACGGCCCAGACUCCUACGGGAGGCAGCAGUAGGGAAUCUUCCGCAAUGGACGAAAGUCUGACGGAGCAAUGCCGCGUGAGUGAAGAAGGUGUUCGGAUCGUAAAACUCUGUUGUAAGGGAAGAACAAGUACGUUAGUAACUGAACGUACCUUGACGGUACCUUAUCAGAAAGCCACGGCUAACUACGUG